rnacentral:piRNA from 1 species
GGGAUUGCUAGCAAGGUACCUGCUGA